AAUCCUUUAUGGCAGCACAACUAAUUCCUAGCACACUGUCGUGGUCUGCUUGAAGAGUUCUGAGCUUUCAUUGCCCUCAGACCAUUCUGUGCCAUUCCUGUUCCUGCAGCUGGGCCUGCAUGAAUAUGUCAGACCUUGUCAUGCGGGUGGAUCCAGAUGUGAGAUCUCAGGGCUGUUCACUCUCCAUCUGAUGGAUGGGCUCACACUGAUGUUAUGCUGUAGAGCUGUCACAAACCAUGCGCUCAGAUGGAUGUUUAACAACACUCACAUGCUUCCCUCAUGCUGAAGGAUUUCUUGCUUUGCUCUGGUAAGAGAUGACUCUUCUGCAUUGUUGUCUCAAGGCUUGCUGAGAGACACAUAUGGUCGAGUCCAAGCAAGUCCUGAUUGAGGAUUGGGAAAUCCUUCAUGUGAGGGACACGGAUGGACCAGGCCAGGGGCAGCGAGGGGGAGAGAGAGAAGGCAGAGCUCAAUGGCCAGGAAGCAGCCUUUGGUGUGGGCUUAUCUGGAGGGAGAUAACAGCCAUCUCAGGGCAGUGCUCACAUGGCUGUUAGCUGAGCACCCAGGAGUGCCAUGUUGACAGAAAGAGGAGGAUAAAGGGGUGAACAACCAUGAGGUUGGGUUUCUGACUGCAGAUUUCUCAUGAGCUGAGAGUUGCAUGCUGAAGCAGAACAAGGAGGUUUCUGCCACGAGAAGCCUCACAGCCUGCCUCUUCCUCCUGUAUUUGCUCUGCACUCUCCCUUCUUGCUGCCCAAGGCUGACCACUCUGCUGCUGUUCCCCUAGAAGGUGUCUGCCAUCAGAUCCUCACUGCAGAAGCUCUGCAUGCUGAGGACUCUCCAGGCUCAGCUGCAGACAUGCUGCUUCCUCCUGGACUCCUGCCUGGCUCUUCUCAGUACCAGCACCUCCUUUGCUGCCCAACGCUACCUGUGCUGCUGCUGCUCCUGCUGUGCUUUGGCCCUGGCCUGUUGGGACAUAGUGCAAUGGGACUGCUGGAUGCUGCUGAUGGUGACCAUUUCUGCUCUAUGCAAUUCCUGUCUCUGUCUUUACUAUUGCCCGCCUUCCCUAUCAUUCCAAAUCGUCUGUUGUCUUCUUCCCAUCUCCCUGAUUAAGGUUUGUAAUAAACUUGGACCAACAUCUGCCCUGUUGUUUCUUAACCUCAGGCUGGGUAUGCAGAUUUUAAAGAACCUCCUCUCCUCCUGUCAAUUGGAGUGGGUGGCUGGUGGGUCGCUUAUGGGGCACUAUAUAUCCUUGUGGGGCACAAUGUACCCUUCAUGUGGGGGUAGUAUGGCUCACUGUGGGUCACUUACAGGGCACAGAUGAGGACGUCCUGGACACGUGUUUCUUCUCUGGGCCCCAUUGAUCUCACUGAUAAUCCUGAGCCCCGUUGAUUAUGCUGUGCCUCAUUGCUCCCAUUAUUAACUCUGCUCCGUGUUCCCAGCCCAGAACUGCCUGCAGUACUCAUUGAGCACCUGAGGUUGGUUGCUGCCAGCCCAGAGAGUGCAGGUGGAAGCAAUGAAGCAGGUGGGGGGACAGGGUGGAGCCAGGCUGCAUCCCACCCUGAGCUCAUGGAGGGGCUGGAAGCUGAAGGGGAAGGGUCUGUGCCUGGGGGUUGCUCUGGCUGUUGGGUUGGGUGAGUGCUGAGCCUUGGUAAGGGUUCUAGUAGGAUUUGAUUGUUCGUUUGUGUUUGUCUUGACGUUUGUUUUCUGUUCUCUGGGUGGGUGCUGAUACCAGUGGUUUCUCUAAGCCUUCAAAGGACUCUGCUAAGGGGCUUGAAGGAUCCAGCAAGGAGCCAUAGCAAAGAACGAAGCUCUCUAGCUAUCCUUCCUGGGGUCAGGCAAGCUUUGUUGCUCUUCAAGCCUGUGUUGGCACUUGGGGAGGCUCUGUGGGCGUAGGCUCACCUUGUCCUGGUGCUCUGAGCUUUCUGCUCAUUCCCUAGGCUUUACAUCAUCUUUUCUAGAGGUUUUCAAGUAGCUGUGCCCAUUGGAACAAUAGGAGGUGCUGAAGAACUGGAGAGCAGUACAAGGCCUCUGCUGUGGAUCUUGGUGCUGACAUUGCCAUUGCAACUGGCUUGGUGCUCUACCUCUCUUGGGUCCCUUUUUGCCCUCCUCUCCUCUAUGCUCAUUUGCUCUCCUUUCUUGGGUCCCCUUUUGCCCCACUCUCCCCUGUGCUUUUUGUCCUCUUUGCUGCCUUUUGAACCUUUACUUUCCUGACCACCUGUUGGCCCUUUCCUGACCCCCUUUACCUUACAUUGUCUCUUUGCCUAUUUUUUUUUCCACAUCUUUUUCAUUUUCUAUAUCUUUUCCUACUCUUCCUAUUUCCCAGCCAACUUCAUUUGCUUUUUUUUUCCCCUGUAGGUCCCACCCACCUGCUCCCCCUUUUUUAUAAGUAUUCUUUUCCUUUGAUUUUUCUGUUUCUCUUAAAUAUUUGUCCUUUGUUUCCUUGCUGGCCCUAUGGGAACUUAUAGGUGUGGGCCUGAAGCAGUGAUGGAGCACCUGGUGGGAGUGUGGACAGACCAGGGAGCACAGGUGGAAGCAAUUGUUCUGUGGAAUGGGGUGGAGUCAGGCUGCAUCCCUCCCUGAGCUCAUGGAAGAGCUGGCAGUUGCAUGGUGGUUGUAGAUGCCAGGAGCUUUCCUGAGUGGUGCAAGGACUCUACUGAGGAUCUCGGUGGACCCAGCAAGGAACUAAAGCAAACGAUGGACCCCAAUAUCCUCACUGCAUAAUGGCAGGCAAGCUCUAUUGCUCCCAGAGAGUGUUCUCUUCGGGCCAUUCAAUAGGAUUGGUGUUAGCUUGUUGGUCCAGCUUGACCAACACUCACCACAUCUGUCCCUGCACCAGCUGCCUUUAGG
rnacentral:lncRNA from 1 species